rnacentral:rRNA from 1 species
UACGGGGGGGGCAAGCGUUGUUCGGAAUUACUGGGCGUAAAGGGCUCGUAGGCGGCCAAUUAAGUCAGACGUGAAAUCCCUCGGCUCAACUGGGGAACUGCGUCUGAUACUGGAUGGCUUGAGUGUGGGAGAGGGAUGCGGAAUUCCAGGUGUAGCGGUGAAAUGCGUAGAUAUCUGGAGGAACACCGGUGGCGAAGGCGGCAUCCUGGACCACGACUGACGCUGAGGAGCGAAAGCUAGGGGAGCGAACAGG